rnacentral:rRNA from 1 species
UACAUGGGGUGCAAACGUUGCUCGGAAUUAUUGGGCGUAAAGAGCUCGUAGGCGGCUUGUCACGUCGGAUGUGAAAGCCCGGGGCUUAACCCCGGGUCUGCAUUCGAUACGGGCUAGCUAGAGUGUGGUAGGGGAGAUCGGAAUUCCUGGUGUAGCGGUGAAAUGCGCAGAUAUCGGGAGGAACACCAGUAGCGAAGGCGGCUCGCUGGGCCAUUCCUGACGCUGAGACGCGAAAGCGUGGGGAGCGAACAGG